CGGCGGACGGGUGAGUAACGCGUGGGUAACCUGCCUCAUACAGGGGGAGUAACAGUUAGAAAUGACUGCUAAUACCGCAUAAGACCACAGCACCGCAUGGUGCGGGGGUAAAAACGUACCGGUGGUAUGAGAUGGACCCGCGUCUGAUUAGCUAGUUGGUGAGGUAACGGCUUACCAAGGCGACGAUCAGUAGCCGACCUGAGAGGGUGACCGGCCACAUUGGGACUGAGACACGGCCCAAACUCCUACGGGAGGCAGCAUG
rnacentral:rRNA from 1 species